rnacentral:lncRNA from 1 species
AAUGUCUGUGGUGCAUCAUUUGCCUCCUGGGUGGUUACUGGAUCAUCUUGUCAUUUCAUUAACAAAGUAAACUGUCAACUUCCCCAGUGUCAAGAGCGUUUUUGUAGUAAAAAACAACCCCACUUCUUCUGUCUACAUGGAUUCUCUUCAGCUGGAUCCCAGGUCUCCUUUUGGAGCUUCUGCUACAUGCUUUGCUCCUGACUCCACUACUGUGUCGGGCAGUGAGGAUGGAGGAAGUUGUGAAAUGAUCACCCAAAAAUAUGUUUUCCGAUCUGAGCUAUUUAAUGUCACCAAACCUUACAUAAUUCCAGCUGUUCACUAAGAGCACCAACAAAGUAACAAAACCGAAAAUCUACUGAAUGAGGAUGAACAAGAGGGCUCUGUUUCUGUUGGGAAAAAACGUAAAAGAUGUGUUGCUUUCAAUCAAGGUGAAUUGGAUGCCAUGGAGUAUCAUACAAAGAUCAGAGAGCUGAUUUUGGAUGGAUCUUCCCAGUUAAUCCAAGAAGGUCUCAGAAGUGGUUUCCUUUACCCACUUGUUGAAAAACAGCAUGGAAGUAGCAGACACAUAACUUUACCACUUGAUGCCUACAGUUUAACAGAGUUAUGUGAGAUGGCAAAACAUUUGCCUUCCUUAAAUGAAGUGGAGCUUCAAACACUACAGUUGAUUGGAGGUGAUAUGUCUGUUAUAGAGCUGGAUUUAUCCUCACAGAUCAUUGAAAACAACUCCACCUUUUCCAAAAUGAUUACUUUAAUGGGACAAAAUACCUGUUGCCACCACAAAGCAGCUUUCUUUUGUUUGACAUUUCUUGUAUGCAGCCGUAGUAAGACAUUUGAUGCAAUUGUGAUUGAUGCAUCAUGGGAGAACAAAUCGGCUAAAAGAAGGAACAGUUAGGUACAGUAGUUUAUCACCACAGCAGAUAAAGCGAAUGCCUGUCCCUAAGUGGCUGCUGCUGACUGUCUCAUUGUUACUUGGGUGACCAAUGGGCAGAAACAUCUGUGUUUUGUGAAGGAGGAGCUAUAUCCUUCGUGGUCUGUGGAAGUUGUUGCAGAGUGGUACUGGGUAAUCACAAAUUCAGGAGAGUUUGUGUUCCCAUUGGAUUCUCCUCACAAAAAGCCUUAUGAAUGUCUUAUACUGGAGAGAGUUAAAGAAAAAACUGCUUUAGCAUUAAGGUUGUAAUUAGGAAUGUAGAUGUAAGAACGCCCCUGGUUCCAGAUCAGAAGUUGAUUGUCAGUGUGCCCUGUGUUCUUCACUCACACAAACCGCCUCUUACC